rnacentral:tRNA from 1 species
AAGACCUUAUGUUAAUUAAACAUUUAACCUUCAAAGUUAAAAAUACAAGUAAUAAUCUUGUAAGUCUUA